rnacentral:rRNA from 1 species
UGAGUAACGCGUAAGGAACCUGCCUUUUAGAGGGGAAUAACAAUGAGAAAUCAUUGCUAAUACCGCAUAUGCCAUAGUUAUCACAUGAUAAUAGUGGGAAAGGAGCAAUUCACUAAAAGAUGGCCUUGCGUCUGAUUAGAUAGUUGGUAAGGUAACGGCUUACCAAGUCGACGAUCAGUAGCCGGACUGAGAGGUUGAACGGCCACAUUGGGACUGAGAUACGGCCCAGACUCCUACGGAAGGCAGCAG